ACCUUCAACAAUUUGGUGAUUUUGAAGACGUGAUUUCUUUGUUCCAGGACUCAGUUAUUGAAAUCCCUCGCGAUUGCUGUCUCUAGCAUGCAAUUCACAUUGCAGAGUUCAAAGUUGAAUAAAACCGCAAGGAUCAAUAACAAAGGUACACAACAACUA